rnacentral:rRNA from 1 species
AUGGCGGCGGCGCAGAAGCCGGCGAAGCGGCUCGGUGGCAUGGCGGAGGCGCUCGCCAUCGCCGGGGACCUCGGCUUCCCGGCCCCUCCCGCGCAGGAAGAUCAGAACACCGACAAAAGUGAUGACCUGGUGAGGGUAUUAAGGGAGCUGACGGUCGUGCAGCGGAACAUUGCCAAUUUGCAAGUCGAGCUACAAGGCAGAAAGGAUGAUAAAAACAUUGCUCAUUUGACUCAUGUUAGUGAAAUGGAAAAGAAGUGUGAAUCGUUGGCCAGAAUUACUGCUAUUUUGAAAGAUGUUAUUCAAAACAAGGACCGCAUUAUUGCCCGUCUGCAGCAACCUUAUUCGCUUGAUUGCAUUCCUGUUGAAGCUGAAUACCAGAAACAAUUCUCGGAGCUGCUUCUGAAAGCGGCAAGUGACUAUGGGGCAUUGACAGCAUCAGUUGGAGAUUUCCAGUGGAGUCAAAACUUCAGAGAGUCGCCUGCUGUAUGGGGUGAAAUGCUACGACCGAUACCUGCUGCGCUUGCAUCCUGCACCCGGUUCUUCGAGGCCAUGUCUGCGAUGAGGGAAUCCUUUUCUACUCUUCAAACACUACGUGUUGGUCCUUCUCUGUCAAUGACCCCAGGUGGCUCCAGUGAUGAUUCAAAGUUCUUGACGCCACCUCAGUGGAGAGAGGGCUCGAUGCUCAAUAGCUGGAACCAAGUGGACGACGUAAACCCUGAAAGUGAUGGACUCGACAGUGUCAACCAGAGGAGGCUAUCAUGGCCAUCCUCUUGGACGACGUAA